UAUCCGUUGGUGAACCAGCGGAGGGAUCAUUACCGAGUUUACAACUCCCAAACCCAAUGUGAACGUUACCAAACUGUUGCCUCGGCGGGGUCACGCCCCGGGUGCGUCGCAGCCCCGGAACCAGGCGCCCGCCGGAGGAACCAACCAAACUCUUUCCGUAGUCCCCUCGCGGACGUUAUUUCUUACAGCUCUGAGCAAAAAUUCAAAAUGAAUCAAAACUUUCAACAACGGAUCUCUUGGUUCUG
rnacentral:misc_RNA from 1 species